GCUGUUUGAGGUAUCGACCCCUCAUGUAGCGAGGCUAACGCGUUAAGCAUCCCGCCUGUGGAGUACGGUCGCAAGACUAAAACAUAAAGGAAUUGACGGGGACCCGCACAAGCGGUGGAGCGUGUUGUUUAAUUCGAUGGUAAGCGAAGAACCUUACCCGGGUUUGACAUCCUUGGAAUUUCUACGAAAGUAGAAAGUGCUUUUAGAGCCAAGUGACAGGUGUCGCAUGGCCGUCGUCAGCUCGUGUCGUGAGAUGUUUGGUUAAGUCCAUCAACGAGCGCAACCCUUGUGAUUAGUUGAAUUUUUCUAAUCAGACUGCCCUGGCAACAGGGAGGAAGGAGGGGAUGAUGUCAGGUCAGUAUUACCCUUACACCCGGGGCUACAAACACGCUACAAUGGCCGGUACAAAGGGCAGCCAAGUCGCGAGACGGAGCAAAUCCCAUCAAAGCCGGUCUCAGUUCGGAUAGCAGGCUGAAACUCGCCUGCUUGAAGUCGGAAUCGCUAGUAACGGUAGGUCAGCUAUACUACCGUGAAUACGUUCCCGGGCCUUGUACACACCGCC
rnacentral:rRNA from 1 species